rnacentral:lncRNA from 1 species
CUUUGACCCUACCACCUUGUCAACCUGAAGCCUAGGAAGCAGAGCCUGCCACAGAUGGCUGCCCCUCGGCCCUCCCUGUCCCCAGCAGCUCCCUGGCCCCCAGGAGCUAAAGCUCUCCCGCCGUCCUUCCAGGCCUCAGGUUUCACAAGGGUCAGGUUGGAGCCUCUGUAUCCACAACCCAAAUUGUCCCAGGACAUGGAACUCUGGCAUCUGGGUCUCCUGCAACACCGUGUUCACCCUCAACCCCACUCAUAUGAGGGGGAAGCAGGACUCGGCUCCAGCACUUCCCCGACUGGACCCUCCCGGAGACUAACAGCUUAUUCGAGAAUCUGAAAAUCUAUUCUUUCUCUUUUAAGUCUUGCAAAAUGAAUGAUACCUCUUCUCGAGGCUCAGGAGCUAUGAUGUUGCUUUCUUCUGGAACCGCAGAGACACGAAGCUGAAGAUCUUGGCUCUCAGGGGAGUCAGCUGAGAUAAGCUCAUUGUUCUCUUCCUUCUCUUCCAUCUUCCCUGCCUUGUCAGACGCUGAAAAAACCUGAGAGACCAUCAAGCGUGGUUUGACGAUCGGUGCUAGGUCCGCGCCCAGGAUCCGAACCUGAGAACCCCAGGCUGCUGGAGUGGAGCAUGCAAACUUAACCACUGUGCCGCCUGGCCAGCCCCUGACACUCUCUUGAAAAGACAGGAAUUAGAGCCAUCCCCUCCAUACCACCUACUUCCCCUCCCUCAGAACCCGCCACUUCUUCCCCUGGACUUCUCACCUGGCCACCCCAUCCCACCCCUGGGUUUAAUGAAUACAGAAGUUCUAAACCAUCCCUCUUUCACACUGUAUCUGUUCAAAGCUUGGAACAAUGAAAAAAAUGAAAAUGCCCAAAGUCACGGGCAGCGUCUCCUGGGAGUGAUGGGCUGGCAGCUGAGCCUCUCGUUCUGAUUUCCUCGGCCUUUUCCCCUAAGGGUUAGCAGCACACAUUCUUCCCACUGCGGACACGUUAGAUGAAGAACAAGAACCAGGACCGAGUUUUUCCUCCACUGGAGCUGGGAAUCUGAGGGAGCCCAUGCUUCCCCAGGUGACCCAUCCUUCAUGACUCCUAACUCCUCCCUAGUCUAGAGUCCCUCAGAUGGGACCAUCUCUCCCUUUUUUGUUCACACCUCCACCUUCUCCUGUGUAUGAUUCUUUUGCUAGAAUGUAAGCUCCUUGAAAGGUCCUAAAGGUUUAUGUAUGUAUCACCAC